UACGGGGGGGGCAAGCGUUGUUCGGAAUUACUGGGCGUAAAGGGUUUGUAGGUGGCCCGCUAAGUCACACGUGAAAUCCCUCAGCUUAACUGGGGAACUGCGUGUGAGACUGGCAGGCUCGAGGGCAGGAGAGGAACGCGGAAUUCCAGGUGUAGCGGUGAAAUGCGUAGAUAUCUGGAGGAACACCUGUGGUGUAGACAGCUUACUGGACCAUCACUGACGCUGAGACACGAAAGCGUGGGUAGCAAACAGG
rnacentral:rRNA from 1 species